rnacentral:lncRNA from 1 species
UCAAGUUCUUCAUUCUUCACUUGAGCAGUCCGUGUAACCAGGCUACACAAUGUAGCAUGUAUCAUUGUGUUUUGAUCAUAAAGGGAUAGCCAACAAUUCUUAUACCAACAAAGACGGAAAGGAAAAGUGAGGGAGAACGAAGAAGGCAACGAAAGAAAGAAGAGGAGAGGGGAGAGGAAUGGAUGAGAUCGAAGGGAAACAAAAGCAGAGAGAAAGUGUGAGAGAGGGAGGGAGGGGGAAGAGGGGAGGGGGGCAAGCCCAGUUUGUGAUAAAGAUAAAUACGAGGACUCUUGUCGAUAAUUUGGUGAGUGAUUUCUGGAAUUUCUUCAAAGGUUCAUGUAUUAAUUGUUUACACCUAAAUUAAUAUUUUACUGGAUAGUAAUUGUCUAAAGUGAAUAUUAAUUAAAUUCAUGGUCCACACCGACGAGCCCGAAAUAUUGGGUUUAUUAGUGAUGGCCCACUAACAAAAGCAUGCGAGCUAGUUGGUAAAGUUCGUGUGAGUCUAGGAGUUUGCAUGCGAAGAAACUAGCAUGCGAGCUGUGUAGAAGCCUUCGCACACAAGGACUGAAGUUUCCAUGCGUACUGGACAAAGUUUGUAUGCGAGGAGAUCUUCUUGGAUUUGAAGUGGAGGACUUCACAUAAGAGAGGGAGUCUUGGACGUGGACUUCGCAUAGAAGACAUAUGCAUGCGUGCGAGAAAGUAGUUGCAUGUGGGAGGGACAAGGAUAUGUUGCACUUAGAUGUUGUAGAGCGGGACAUGGAAGCAAUACUUAUCCUUAAUUGUUGUUUAAUAAGGAAUGAUCAUAUGUGCAACAUAGAUACAUGAGGUCCAGUGUGUGCAUGGCGGAGAGGAGUUCGCCUAAGAAGAGGAGACCAAAGAGGCGCGAGCUGAUUUAAUGUUUAAUUGAAGAAGGGAGCCAACACUUAUCCUUAAUUGCUCCGUGCAUGUGCAUUUGAAUGUUAUUCCUUAAUUGCAUGAGUAUAGGUACGUGCACAUCUAGGAUUACACGUCCAGAAGGUUUCCAAGUCUCCAUCAAGUAUUCGCGGGCUAUCCUAUAGUCUAGAAUAUGAUCAUAUCAUCAAGAGGCAUCAAUUAUGUUGCCUACAAUGUCUCAACGUUGAAGACUUAUACAAGUCUUUGACAUGCUUUGAGCUAAUACCUAUGGCCCUAAAAUACCUCUAUAUAAGGGAGUUUGAGGAUACUCUCUCUACACACUCAACAACUCAACAAAAAUACAAUACAACUUUCAACAUAGUUGAACCUCUAGACGCUAAAGCCUCACGCCUUAACAACCUUUUUCCUUUCAAGCUCCCAGGAGCUCUCUUACGUUCUCGUUUUCUUUUUAUUUGGUUGCUCUGUGUCACGCCCCCAAACCGAGACCAUUAUUAUAUGGAAAUAUGGUGCCCGAAUUUGCGACAUGAGUUGAAACAAAUAAAAUUUUCUCAAAUAAUUUAUUAGAAGAAGAAAUAUAUAUGUCUGAAUAAUACUUUUAUUAGAAAGGGAAAGCAUUAAUAAUUUACAAUACCAAAUAUUUUACAAUACGAAAGUUUUAGCAAGAGUAUAUAAAACAUUACAUUUAUUCUCAAAAUAGCAACAGAAAACAUUCUUUUAUUUAGUAGGUUCAUCCCAUUCCCCAAGCAUCUAUUCGUUACCUGAAACAAUAAUNNNNNNNNNNNNNNNNNNNNUUUAUCCUUAGUUAUGCAUUUUGAUAAUCUUAAAGACAAAAAAGUAUAGGAAUGUAACCAUGUACUUACUCUUGAAUUUUCAGAAGUGAAGUGAGGAUUUGGGUAUUGACUCAAGGUUGGACUUCUUUGACAAAGAGAGAACUUCUCAAGAGAAAAGAGUGAAUGGUAGGAUAUUUUGGUGUGGGAGCUUUUCUAUUCAACUAAGGGAGUUUGUGAUCAUCUUUACGUUUGAUCUUGGAGUGUGAAGAAAAGAUGUUGCAGCUCCCAAGUAUAAAUAGGCCAUGAAGCAUGCAUUGUAAAUUAAUUUCCAGCAAUUUUAUUUGACUUAAAAGGCCAAACAUUAAAUUUGAGUGAUAGUCUAGCUAGUUAGGGUGAUUUUUCACAAAGAAAACCAAAUAGUAAGACGGGUAAAAGAAAAAUCAGCUAGUGCAUGAAUCUAUAGAUACACAAAUAUUUAUAUAUGUAUAUAUAGAUAUAUAUCUACUCAAGCUAAUAAGUAAAGGAAUAUGAUGUUUUCCUUUCUUAAGAUCUUGUAAAUGUGUUAGUAAUAUUUAAGAUUAGAAUAGUAUGCAUGAUAAAAGCAAUACUAACACGAAUCUUAAAUUCAAUCACGAGUAUCGAUUGUAUGUAAGAAAUACGGGUUAAGGUAUUUAAGUAGUUUACUUAAAUUCUAAUACUUAAUAAAAAUACCUAUCUUGUAAGUAUGAUACUUGGAGUCAUUGGCUUCUAAAAUGAAUAUUUUAGAAGAUAUUUGGAUUACUAUCUAAGGUUAAAGAGCCUUAGUGUGCUAUAUAAUUUGUGCUAAGUUUCGGGGUACUACACUCUGCUCAUUACAACCGCGAGUAUCGAUAUUGGUGGCGGAGAAGCUACUGUAAAUCCUCGUCCACGAGGUGGCACCAGAGUCCUACUUUAGUUUGAUUAGAAGUACAAGUCAGUGCACUACAACAAUAACUUUACUACAUUCCGCGUCCGCGCGGUGUUGCGUUCUCGUUUUCCUUUUCUUUGGUUGCUCUGCUCAUUACAACCGCGAGUAUCGAUAUUGGUCGCGGAGAAGUUACUAUAAAUCCUCGUCCACGAGGUGGCACCAGAGCUCUACUUUCGUUUGAUUAGAAGUACAGAUCAGCGCACUACAACAACAACCAUACUACAUUCCGCGUCCGCGCGGUGACACGCCUCGCAUCCCUAGAAGCAUUAACUGGUACCAUCUCUCUACCCCUGUUGAGGAUUGUGGCCAAAACAUUGGCACGCCCAGUAGGACUGGAGUAGUAUCUUCCGUCAUCCGCCAUUGGAAGGGCAGAUGAGUAUCCGUAUUGCCUCUUCUAAGUUAAGACCGAGCAAUCUGCUCAUGGUCUUGCAAAUGAAAAAACGUUAGCAAGAUUUGACAAUCCAGAUUCGCGCAUGAUAACCAUGACCAAUUCAAUGGUCACAAACCAAGGCUUAGGGUUGACACCUUUGGCUCGGGAGCAAGUUCGCCAGACGGUGGCUCAUUUCGAGGAUCUAAAAGCCUAUUACGUACGAAACCCUCUUCGCCUCCCUGGAAAGCAAGCUCGAUAAAAUGUUGACACGCUUUGAGGUUAAGGCACCACUAAAGGCUCCAAUCACGGCAGUGGAAGCUAUCUCGGCCAAGUGUACAAGGCCAGAAACAGUGACCCAGGUUGCCGAAGAACUUGAGGACAAGGCCGUUGAGAUUUUCGAUGAUCUUCCUACCUCAAAGACUGACGACAUUUCUCAGAAAAAGGAGCUUGAAGAUAGGACAAAACAGUCCAUCUUAGAAGAAAGAUGGGUUCAAACACUGAUGGCGAACCACAGUUGCGCAUGACCUUCGAUCAAGGAGAUUAUGAUGGGAAGGACCGUUCUGCUAAUAGCAUGCAUGUCCUUAAAACAAUAGUUGUUUCCCCAUAGAUCAAGAGGUAUACGUGGAUACUGGACAAGUACAUGAGUGGCAAGAUGUAGGCCACCUUCGUUUGUUUGAUCUCCAUGGCCAAGUUCAAGAUAACUAUGAAGGCCGGAGGGUUUUGGCUUGUGAUGUGCAUGAUCAUAUCUUUGUUUGCAAUAAAGAAAGGCCUCCAGAAGAAUUUAAUCAAUUGGAUAGUGGUCUUGCUACGAGACAUCCUCUUGAUAUUGGUCAAAUCUUACAACUUAACCAUCAAUUGAAUAUCCCCAGUUCAAUUCGUGGCUUCCUUGUCCAAUUCAUAUGGAUUUGUGACUUGCAUGCUAUGCGAAAGCCAACCAAUGGCUUUGCUGUAUGCGAUUUGAUUUAUCAUGAAGGCAAUGUCAUCGUUGCUUUUGAUUAUAAAACUUCGAGUCACUUACAAAAGAAACUCGUAUGCGAUGGUACAGGCCAAGCCUGCACCCAACGCGAUACUUAUGGCUUUAGUAUGCCUACCUUUCAUGCAGAAAACAAUUCGCUUAUUGGUAGAGAUUACUGUGAUCUUUCGACAACACCAAUAUACGAUGAGUACGGUGACGAUUAUAGAUUGAUCAUUGACUCUAAAGUUGACAGCCGGUCUUUGGCUAGUUAUGAUGAAACCAUGCGCCAUGACAUGGUAGUCGGUAACAAGGUAUCUUUACACCAUACUACCCGCAAGGAUAUAAUUUAAGAUCAUGCCUUACCAAAUGACAAAGAUGCUUGGAGGGCAACAAGGCAAUCCAUAUGAGCUAUUUUCUUCAAAUUUUAAAGUUGUUGACGCAAAACAUCUUUGCUCAACACUUGUAAAUUCUCUACAAAAAGUGUCUCAUGCCGGGAAUAUAACGACGUCGAGGCUUGGAGUGAAGCAUUGGUGGUCUCCCCCGUGGCCUUACGAAGGGUAACUAACCAUACUAUGAUCCUUCUUUUCUCUGCUCCUAGCUUUUACUUCAGCUUUUACUUCUGUUUUCUUUCAUUUUCUUUCUUUCUCGCAUUGAAAAAAGAAAAAUACAAAAAAAAAAUCAAAUAGCAAAAAACACAAAAAGAUUUUUCGUUUUGCUGAAACGCAAGACAAAGUUUUUGCCUACAUAAGGCUUGAACUUUACUAAGAGGCCUAUCCCUAAAGUCUGGAGACAAUAUAGCAGGCUGCCAGCGAAGUCAAGUCAGAGAAGAAAUACCAUUAGAUUGCAAUGCUGAAAGUUGCAACAGACAUUACUGGAUAGUCAACUUCGUGGACUAAACUGGAAUGAUCCAGGAAGAACUAGCAGGCGAGCCUUAUAUCAACAGAAAGCCCUGGAUGUCUAUUUUCCAGAGGAUUUUACGGUUCAUCAUUUCGACAUUUCUAGAGAGAGUUAUGGCAGUUUGAAUGCAGACAGGUCAGGAUAUGCGCAAAUUUGCAAUGUGUUUUUUCAAUGUGUUUUCAUGACCUUGCAACAUGCUUUCCUUUACUAGGGGGCAUCCAUAAAAGUUUUGUGUACCUUCAUUGGGGAGCAUACUAAAGUUUUGAUGUCAUUUAUUUUUCUCAAGUAUCAUUGAACAGACAUCAAAACUGGGGGGCAAAUAUGAGAUAGAGAUGUGUUCCGAAUAUUUCAGACUAUAGACAAUCUUCAAAUGUCUUGGUUAUUAUUUAGGCCAACACCUGUGGCCUCUAAAAAAAAUUAUGUUUAACUCUCAUCGGUUCGCACGUUGGGGGGGGGGGGGAGGCAAAGUGUCUUGUGUUUGACUCUCAUUGAUUCAUACUGGGGGCAGCAAAGUGAACUAUAUCCACUCAAGAUGUAUCUAUUCAAGGUACAUCCAUUCGAAGUCAGACGGUUCCUUUCCAAAUAUAUCUACUCGAGGUACAUCCAUGCGAGGACAUAUCUACUCGAGGUGCAUGCAUGGUACUAUGUUCUCUGAGUGGAGCAGGCGGAGUGCACGACAUCAUUCGUAGUGAUUUAAGUCCAAGGUACCUAGCUAUGUUAAGUUCAUAAUCAUCAGUUGAAUAUGGUACUAGGCGAAUCGUACAGCAGCUUCACUACAAUGCUUUGUUGCUGGGUGCUUGAGUUUUAAAGCUUAUUCAGAGGCUUGUUCACUCACACUCAUUUUGUGUAUGACCUGAGCCAAUACCAAUGGCUUUGGAGCAGCAUGAAACAUAAACCUCUUCAGUCAUUCUUGACAUUCAUGACUUCGGGCUGGGGGAGGGGCAAUGUUUACACUCAAAUUAAUAUUUUACUGGAUAGUAAUUGUCUGAAGUGAAUAUUAAUUAAAUUCAUGGUUCACAAUAACGAGUCCGAAAUAUUAAGUUUACUAGUGAUGGCCUACCACAAAAGCAUGCGAGUUAGUUGGUAAAGUUUGCGUGAGUCUAGGAGUUUGCAUGCGAAGAAACUAGCAUGCGAGCUGUGUAGAAGCCUUCGCACACAAGGAGUGAAGUUUCCAUGCGAACUGGACAAAGUUUGUAUGCGAGGAGAUUUUCUUACAUUUAAAGUGGAGGACUUCGCAUAAGAGAGGGAGUCUUGGACGUGGACUUCGCAUAGAAGACAUUUGCAUGCGUGCGAGAAAGUAGUUGCAUGUGGAAGGGAUAAAGAUAUGUUGCACUUAGAUGUGGUAGAGCGGGACAAAAGCAAUACUUAUCCUUAAUUGUUGUUUAAUAAGGAAUGAUCAUAUGUGCAACAUGGAUACAUAAGGUCCAGUGUGUGCAUGGCGGAGUCUAUAUACAUGCGAAGAGAGGAGUUCGCCUAAGAAAAGGAGACCAAAGGGGCGCGAGUUGAUUUAAUGUUUAAUUGAAGAAGGGAACCAACACUUAUCCCUAAUUGCUCCGUGCAUGUGCAUUUGAAUGUUAUUCCUUAAUUGCAUAAGUAUAGUUACGUGCACAUAUAGGAUUACACGUCCAGAAGGUUUCCAAGUCUCCAUCAAGUAUUCGCGGACUAUCCUACUGUCUAGAAUAUGAUCAUAUCAAGAGGCAACUAUGUUGCCUACAAUGUCUCAACGUUGAAGACUUCUACAAGUCUUUGACAUGUUUUCGGCCAAUACCUGUGGCCCUAAAAUACCUCAAUAUAAGGGAGUUCGAGGAUACUCUCUCUACACACUCAACAACUCAACAAAAAUACAAUAUAACUUUCAAAAUAGUUG